rnacentral:rRNA from 1 species
AAAGGCCGGGAUCUUCGGACCGGUCACUAUUGGAUGAGCCUGCGUAAGAUUAGCUAGUUGGUGGGGUAAAGGCCUACCAAGGCGACGAUCCGUAGCUGGUCUGAGAGGAUGAUCAGCCACAUCGGGACUGAGACACGGCCCGAACUCCUACGGGAGGCAGCAGUGGGGAAUAUUGGACAAUGGGGGAAACCCUGAUCCAGCAAUGCCGCGUGAGUGAUGAAGGCCUUAGGGUUGUAAAGCUCUUUUACCCGGGAUGAUAAUGACAGUACCGGGAGAAUAAGCUCCGGCUAACUCCGUGCCAGCAGCCGCGGUAAUACGGAGGAUCCAAGCGUUAUCCGGAAUCAUUGGGUUUAAAGGGUCCGCAGGCGGAUUUAUAAGUCAGUGGUGAAAGCCUACAGCUUAACUGUAGAACUGCCAUUGAUACUGUAAGUCUUGAAUUCGGUCGAAGUGGGCGGAAUAUGUCAUGUAGCGGUGAAAUGCUUAGAUAUGACAUAGAACACCGAUAGCGAAGGCAGCUCACUAGG